AGCAACAGCCGAAGCGUCAAACAGACAAUCCCCUCGCCUUUUACUAGGGGAUUCCGUGCUGCUUCGGUACCAAAUGUUGCUUAACAAUCUUUGGAAUUCUAGCUCUUCUUGAGC
rnacentral:snRNA from 1 species